rnacentral:rRNA from 1 species
GUAGGUGAACCUGCGGAAGGAUCAUUAAAUAAUCAAUAAUCUUGGCUUGUCCAUUAUUAUCUAUUUACUGUGAACUGUAUUAUUAUUUGACAUUUGAGGGAUGUUCCAAUGUUAUAAGGAUAGACAUUGGAAAUGUUAACCGAGUCAUAAUCAGGUUUAGGCCUGGUAUCCUAUUAUUAUUUACCAAAUGAAUUCAGAAUUAAUAUUGUAACAUAGACCUAAAAAAUCUAUAAAACAACUUUUAACAACGGAUCUCUUGGUUCUCGCAUCGAUGAAGAACGUAGCAAAGUGCGAUAACUAGUGUGAAUUGCAUAUUCAGUGAAUCAUCGAGUCUUUGAACGCAACUUGCGCUCAUUGGUAUUCCAAUGAGCACGCCUGUUUCAGUAUCAAAACAAACCCUCUAUUCAACUUUUGUUGUAUAGGAUUAUUGGGGGCCUCUCGAUCUGUAUAGAUCUUGAAACCCUUGAAAUUUACUAAGGCCUGAACUUGUUUAAAUGCCUGAACUUUUUUUUAAUAUAAAGGAAAGCUCUUGUAAUUGACUUUGAUGGGGCCUCCCAAAUAAAUCUCUUUUAAAUUUGAUCUGAAAUCAGGCGGGAUUACCCGCUGAACUUAAGCAUAUCAAUAAGCGGAGGA